UUUAACGUUAGUAGAUGGUUG
ensembl:piRNA 21ur-14116 ncRNA